UACACUAGGUUCUCCGACUUUCACAGUAAGUAGGCGAGGAGUGAGCGGGGCUCUCAAUGAGUUUGUUUAUUUUUUGCUCAGCUUUUCUGUGGUUUGUUGGUAAACAAACUUCAUGAGUUCCGCAUAGUUGCAUAGCCUACAUAGCCAAAAUGGCUGAAUCGGGAAUUCGUUAUUCGGGAACACCUCCUGAAUAUAUACCCACCUUGCAUUAACCUAAGAACUUCCGUUCUCAUAGAUAGCUAGAAUUGCUAUAGUUUUAUAUUCCUUCUAAAAGUUAUCAGCCUGUUGAGCUACAUUCGGUGAAAGAAUUCAUUAGUGCUUAUAAUCAUAGCUAGUUUUAUACACAGUUGUGUAGGUACUUGAUCUGCAUCAUACACGUUGGAUUCCGACUCCGAUUUCGGAUACUUAGUCUCCGCUAAUAAGUCUUCAUCUACCGAGAAUAGCAAUAGCUAGUUGCCAAAUAACAAAUCGGCGUUAAUUGGAUUGAAAU